CUUAGAAAGUGUGUGACAUCCAGCCAUGCUGGUGAUUCUCACAGUGCUAACCUGGUAUUAGCUCUGUCAGAGACAGUCUGGACGGUCGGGGUGAGGCAUGAUGGGAGAUCUGCGCUUUAGGCCAGUUGCUUCACCUCUCUGAGGUUCUUACCCAGUUCUAGAAAGAACAGAAGUGAGCUUCCUCGUUCCUGCACCUGGGCAGGGAGGCCUGGCAGAUAAAGGGGAGCUGAAGAUGAAUGACAUGUUUUCAUAAUCGAGGACUCAUUUGUGUCAUGCAUUCCUCUAAACCCUUUAUUGUCUAAUUUUAUCCUCGCAACGUUCCUGGGACACUGGCCCCAUACCAAGAGACAGAACAGGGAUUCAAACCAGGUCUCUCAGGCUCUAAAGCCCAAGGCCAUCAUGUAAUGACAGAGAAGCAGACUUGAAGAUCCUAGAGACAGGAGUUCCCAGAGACCCAUCUUGCACCUGCAGUUUCUUAUUUUUUUAUUGCCAAACCCACCCUGUUCCCCAAAAACCACAGCAUACUGGGCAGACAGGGCCCCUGGCCAGUCUAGUCUGUGACCUGGGUUGGGAUGUGCUGGCUGCUGUGACCCUGAUAAGAGGAGGGGGCCCAGAGCCCUCACUGAUCUCUGUUUGCUUGUCCUGGACUUUGUCUCACAGAGCAGCUUCUGGGAAGAGUUUAUUGUCCUUAGGCCACGGUCACCUUCUGGCCUGUCUUCUGGCCUUUGUAGAAGAGAAGCUGGAUCGACAUGACAGUGUACAUUUGAAGUUCUGCUUAUUUCCUGCACCAGUAUCGACCAAGCCCUGCAGUGUGUUGGGCACAAUGCCAGGCACUGAGAGGCCACCAUACAGAAACCUGAGUGCCCUGCUGUGUUCAGUGAGCUGAUGUCAGGGGAAAAGGGAAUCAGACAAGUCAAAGGGAGCCCACUGAAUCCCAAGGAGUGAUGAGAAGCUGAAGAGAUAGAAAUUUGGAGGGGCAGAGGCUCAUCUCCUGCAGGGAUUAGGAGAAGGUUCCUGGAUGAGGUGCCUGGAAAAAAGAGCAGUGCUUGGGAAGGGGAAGGCGGGAAGGGAGGGAGAGAAAAGCAGACGGGCAGGUGGGAUGUAUGCUGUGGGAAGGUAGAGGUGUCUGGGAUGGGAGCAGGAGCUGAUGAAGAGGGUAGGGAAGGUGGCUGGGAAGGGGGUUGGGACCAGCUGGCGCAGGGGUCUGAAAGUGAUUAGCCUUUUGGGUGGGAGAUACUUAAGAUAUUUUAAGCAAGGGUGUGAUGAGUUCAAGACUGGGCUGUUGAGAGAUGGCUAGCACCAAGCCUGGUCCAUGUAAAGUGCUAGAAGCAUGUUUGCACAGGGGGAGGGUGGACAGGAGAUGGGGAGAGCUAACUAUGACCUGUGCCUGUCAUGCUUCUUAGCAUCACGUCCGAAUUCAUUUACUGCUCACAACUCCCCACAAGAGACAGAUAUUAUUGUUACUAUUAUCCUCAUGGUACAGAGAAAGAGACGUUGGCCCACCAUAUGCAUGUGGGAGGUGGGGGCCAGGGUGGACAGAAAGCAGCUAUGGUUGCUGAGGAUUGAGAAUGGGGAGUGUAGCUGUGCUGCUGGUGCCGGUGGGACAGCACAUGGGCCCAGACCUGCUCUGAGCGCCACCCACACACAGCCAACUGUCUGCUUGAUGUGCCCACAGCCCCUCCAUCUGGUAUGUCCAAACUGAACUCCUGACCUUUGUCUCCUCCUCCCCACACCCCGUUACUAAGCCAGAUCUUCCCCCUGUUGUCCACUCCAGUCAAGGCCACCGCCAUCUAGUUGGCCAUCCAAGCCAGAAGGCUGGGUGGCAUCCUGGGUGCCUCAGUCUCCUUGACCACCUACCCCACCUCCCACCCUCUGAAUAUCCCUCUAAUCCAUUAACUUCUCUCCCCAUCCCCCGUCACCACCUAGUUCAAGCUGCCCUCAUCCCUCAUUUAGACGGCUCAUCUCCUCCUUCUGCUCUGCUCCAGGCAGCAGCCAGAGUCACCAUUUAGAAAGAAGGAGUAUUGCUCUGUCGCCCAGGCUGGAGUGCAGUGACAUGAUCUUGGCCCAAUGCAAUCUCCGCCUCCCGGGUUCACGUGAUUCUCAUGCCUCGGCCUCCUGAGUAGCUGGGAUUACAGGAGCAGUGUGCCAUAAUUUUUUAUUGUGGUAAAAUAUACAAAACAUAAAAUUUAUUAUUUAACCAUUUUUAAGAAUACAGUUCGGUGGCAUAAGUACAUUCAUGUUUUGCAUCCAUCACCACCAUCCAUCUCCAGGACUUUUUCAUUUUCCCCAGCUAAAACUCUGCACCCAUUAAACACCAACCACCAAUUCCCUCCUCUCUCCAACAACUGGCAACCACCAUUCUACUUUCUGAAUCUAUGACUUUGACUACUACAGGUACCUCACAUAAGCGAAAUCAUACUUUUGUCCUCUGUGACUGCCUUAUUUUGUUUAGCAUAAUGUCCUCAGGGGUCGUCCAUGUUGUAGCAUGUCAGAACAUCCUUCCUUUUUAAAAAUUUAUUUAUUUUGAGACAGAGUCUCACUCUGUCACUCAGCUGGAGUGCAGUGGCAGGAUCAUGGCUCACUGCAGCCUCAACCUCCGAGGCUCAACUGAUUCUCCCACCUCAGCCUCCCAGGUAGCUGGGACUACAGGCAUGCGCCACCACACCCAGCUAAUUUUAAAAAUUUUUUGUAGAGAAGGGGGUCUCACUGUGUUUCGUAGGCUGGUCUCAAGUGAUCCUCCCACCUUGGCCUCUCAAAGUGCUGGGAUUAGGUGUGAGUCAUAGUGUGUGGCCUCUAGAGCACUAACUUUAAAAAGCUACAAUUACAAAUCCUUCCUCUGUCCCUCUGAGAUAUAUACCUAUGUAUUUCCUACAACCUAGGAAUGUCUUUCUCAAGGACCUGAAAUCCAUUCCUUUGGAAUGUAAUCAUCAUAAAGGUAGGGCUCAUGUCUCCCAGUCUAUGUGGGAGAAUAGAAUCCUAACUUCCCUAAUUGCCAGCUAGCAGACACAGUUGGCCUAAUCACAUUUACGCUAAGCACUCCUUUUAAUUUUUCACUUCCCAGACUCUAAGUGAGCCCCUGCAUGCUCCCCUGCCUACUCCCUUAUUCUUCCUUUGGAAUGCCCAAUCACCCCUGCGCAAAUGGAAUGGAGUUCAGCUGCUUCCCCUACUGUCAGUAGUUACUGAAUAAAAU
rnacentral:lncRNA from 1 species